UCUCCGUUGGUGAACCAGCGGAGGGAUCAUUACCGAGUUUUUCUUCUCCCAAACCCCUGUGAACUUAUUACUUAACUGUUGCUUCGUCGGGUUAACGCCCCGGAAGGCACACACAGCCGACGGAACCACGCGCCCGCCGAGUGACCCAAAUUCUUUAAUUUCUUACUUUGCAUGUCUGAGUGGAAUCAUAAAAAAAUGAACCAAAACUUUCAACAACGGAUCUCUUGGUUCUG
rnacentral:misc_RNA from 1 species